UUAGAUUUUGUUCUCAACAGCAGAGUAAUCCUUAGAUAAUGUGUUUGAUAUUUUGUAUAAUCCCUUUAUUGUCAGGAAUCAUUUCUGUCAAUCGCCUGACCUGGUUAACAGAGUAAAAAGGGUGGAUUCUGAAUUAGGGCUCGGGCCAGCUUUCCCAAAUCGAAGGAAAUUCAGUGAGAAGAACAUGUGCACAUCUGAGAUGGGAGGGGUAUUCAACAGUGACCAAGAUCACGCUGGAAGCGCCGCACUCUGAUCCAGUCACGGAAUUUCCAUCUCAAUUUUCAGGUCAGCUCUCUAAGAUCUAUUUGGGGCAGUGGUUUUUCUCUGGUGGUUCUGUGUAGAUCGAGGGAUGUUUCAGGAGAUAAACAAGGAGACAAAUAGCGUUACCACAGAUACCUGAAUUUGUUUUUUUCUCAUCAAAAGAUACUCACCACAAGCUGGCUUUUUUUCUCUCAUGUGUGUCCCUACCAAAGGCACUGACGUGCAUGCUCACCUAAUUCUCAAAUCAAACUACUGAAAAUUUAAAAUUAAAGAAAGGUUUAAUUCACUGUCUCAUCUUUUUGUCUCUUUCUGUCCUUGUCUUUAUAUUUCCUGCUUCCCUGCAAAGUGAACGAUAAAGUUGCCUCACCUCAGACUUAUCUGUCAGGGGAAAUGUUGAAAUGUGCUACUUUGGGGGACUUAACACUUGAGAUGUAGAUUAAUUUCAUUGGUUUUUCUUUUUCAGAUCCAAAGGGAGAUCAAAGGCCUUAACUGAGAUCACCCAGCAACUGGGGAGCAAAGACACCCACGCCUAUGAGUAAAUGAAAGUGAACCUGUUUUUCCACGAGGAUGUUUGAAAUUCUUUCAACUUGUAUUCUGCUUUGGAGACCCAGGUGCAAUUCACACUUUGGGGUAAAGACCCGCGUAAUCAAGUUAUGGAAUUUUAUUGAAACAGACAACCUGGAAUCCUGUCCAAGGUAGCAAAUACUCCAGAGCUACUCUGAAAUCCAGCGUUGGGCUGCUUCCAGUUUAUAGUAAGGAACCACCAGUGGCAAGAAAGAGAGCGCCGCCGGGUUCCUAAUCCAUUUCCAGGCAUGGUGCAAGUGAUCUUGUGUCCACACCCACGUGUACUCUCACACUCUCAAUUGAGAGUGGUGAGUCAGGAGCGGUAACUUCACAGCCUACUUGCCAACAAGACUGAUGCUGUCAGAAGCAGCAACUUUUAUGGGUACAGAAGUUUUAGCCCUACAGGCUAUGGGGCGGUCUGAGACAGAAGCAAGCCCCCGUGUUGUCUCAGGACCCCUCAUGCAAGAGUGAUUCACCAUGGAGAGUGCAUUUAUGAGAGCCCUGUGACAGAAGGCGACAUCAUCCCUGCACCUGAAGCUCUGUCUAUACCUGGAAACACCAGACCACAUGGAACAGGCUUUGUCAACAUGUGAAAGCCUCUAUUCAUUUGAAGAGGAACCUGGCGACCUUGAGAGUGUGGGAGGAGCCUGAGAGAAUGGUAAAAUCUCCCCAUCACCCUUGAAUUCUCAGAAUACAACCAUAAACACCCUUGGGGCUUAUUUGGGACAAAAUGUGUGUGGGUUAAGGAUUGUGUUGUUUGGGAUCUAAAGCAAAGCACAUGAAUCGGGUCUCAUCCAUACGUGUGCUCACAAGGAUCAGAGACCCUCCCUUAGAAUCUUCACAGUCUCAGGACUCAAAGGGAUGUCACCAAGCCUAGAAGGACGCCAAGUGGCGGCGUGAGUCCAGCACUCGUCUUACAUUUAGAAGACAAAGGCUGGGACUCCCACUUUACCACAACCACAAGCCACUUUCCCCUUGAUGUACUCAUGGAUAAAGAAGAUUGAAUUUGUGGACUUUCAAAAUUCUCUCCAGUGUGGAAUGUUGUGGCUCUAAGUCACUAAGUUCAGCCAUGUUAGUAGGACUUCGAUAUUCUAGGCUUGUGGAUGUCUAUGUUUGCUUCUCCAUCCUCAGGGGAAACUAUAAUUUGAGUCUGUUCUAUUUCUUUUGAUUCAGUUUUUAUUUAUCCAACCCUCUCCAUUCAGCAAAUAUUUAGUCACAUGCAAGCGCUAUGCUAGAUAGCAAAUAAUUCUUCAAAGCCUGGCAUAUGUGCUAUUUCUCUGAGUCUCCUAAUAACCUUGUGAGUGUAGGCAAGUCAGACAUGCCUGUUUCCACUUUUUAAUAAAGAGAAUAGUACUAGGAACUGAUGAGAAUAAAUGAUUUAGCAAUAGUUACACAUCUAAAAUUCGUGAGUGAUGGGAGCAACCACGUCUUUUGACUCUCAGACUAAUUUCUAAUCCAAUAUUCCAAAUAGCUUCAAUAAAAUAGUAUUUUGCAUUUUGAAUAGAACAUUAUUCAUUAUAGAAUACUCUCCAUAACCUCUCAAUUGGCAGCGGUGAGUCAGGAGCUAUAACUUUUCAGUCAAUUUGCCAACAAGAACGACGCUCUCAGAAAUUCAGCAGUUUUAAACUAGUACACAAGUUUAAAACAUCUAUGUUAUCUUUCCAAGAAUCCCACAAAGCCCCAUGACAUGGCCCAACCAACAUAACCAAACAUGAGGUAAAGAUCUGUGAUGAUGUUACGGUAAACUCAAUUACCAUCAGCCACAAACUCAGCUGAAUUCUCACAAACUGAAAAUAAAGAUUUUCAAUCAUCUAGUUUCUAAAAUAUAUCAGGCAACCACUGUGCUAUUUUCUUUUUUUUUUUUCAAUUGAAUUGUAUUGAAUUUACAAUAUUGCCUGAGUUUCAGGUGUAUAGCAAAGUG